rnacentral:rRNA from 1 species
AGAAUUGCGAUAUGUAAUGUGAAUUGCAGAAUUCAGUGAAUCAUCGAAUCUUUGAACGCAUAUUGCA